rnacentral:rRNA from 1 species
UACAGAGGGUGCGAGCGUUAAUCGAAUUACUGGGCGUAAAGCGUGCGUUAGACGGUUAUUUAAGUCGGGUGUGAAAGCCCCGGGCUCAACCUGGGAAUUGCAUUCGAGACUGAAUAGCUGAGGGUACGGUAGAGGGAAGCGGGAAUUUCCGGUGUAGCGGUGAAAUGCGUAGAUAUCGGAAGGAACAUCAGUGGCGAAAGCGGCUUCCUGGACCAGUACCGACGUUCAGGCACGAAAGCGUGGGGAGCAAACAGG